rnacentral:rRNA from 1 species
AGAGUUUGAUCAUGGCUCAGAUUGAACGCUGGCGGCAGGCCUAACACAUGCAAGUCGAGCGGUAGCACAGAGAGCUUGCUCUCGGGUGACGAGCGGCGGACGGGUGAGUAAUGUCUGGGAAACUGCCUGAUGGAGGGGGAUAACUACUGGAAACGGUAGCUAAUACCGCAUAAUGUCGCAAGACCAAAGUGGGGGACCUUCGGGCCUCAUGCCAUCAGAUGUGCCCAGAUGGGAUUAGCUAGUAGGUGGGGUAACGGCUCACCUAGGCGACGAUCCCUAGCUGGUCUGAGAGGAUGACCAGCCACACUGGAACUGAGACACGGUCCAGACUCCUACGGGAGGCAGCAGUGGGGAAUAUUGCACAAUGGGCGCAAGCCUGAUGCAGCCAUGCCGCGUGUGUGAAGAAGGCCUUCGGGUUGUAAAGCACUUUCAGCGGGGAGGAAGGCGAUAAGGUUAAUAACCUUGUCGAUUGACGUUACCCGCAGAAGAAGCACCGGCUAACUCCGUGCCAGCAGCCGCGGUAAUACGGAGGGUGCAAGCGUUAAUCGGAAUUACUGGGCGUAAAGCGCACGCAGGCGGUCUGUCAAGUCGGAUGUGAAAUCCCCGGGCUCAACCUGGGAACUGCAUUCGAAACUGGCAGGCUAGAGUCUUGUAGAGGGGGGUAGAAUUCCAGGUGUAGCGGUGAAAUGCGUAGAGAUCUGGAGGAAUACCGGUGGCGAAGGCGGCCCCCUGGACAAAGACUGACGCUCAGGUGCGAAAGCGUGGGGAGCAAACAGGAUUAGAUACCCUGGUAGUCCACGCCGUAAACGAUGUCGAUUUGGAGGUUGUGCCCUUGAGGCGUGGCUUCCGGAGCUAACGCGUUAAAUCGACCGCCUGGGGAGUACGGCCGCAAGGUUAAAACUCAAAUGAAUUGACGGGGGCCCGCACAAGCGGUGGAGCAUGUGGUUUAAUUCGAUGCAACGCGAAGAACCUUACCUGGUCUUGACAUCCACAGAACUUUCCAGAGAUGGAUUGGUGCCUUCGGGAACUGUGAGACAGGUGCUGCAUGGCUGUCGUCAGCUCGUGUUGUGAAAUGUUGGGUUAAGUCCCGCAACGAGCGCAACCCUUAUCCUUUGUUGCCAGCGGUCCGGCCGGGAACUCAAAGGAGACUGCCAGUGAUAAACUGGAGGAAGGUGGG